rnacentral:rRNA from 1 species
UACGUAGGGUGCGAGCGUUGUCCGGAAUUACUGGGCGUAAAGAGCUUGUAGGCGGUUUGUCGCGUCUGCUGUGAAAAUCCGGGGCUCAACCCCGGACUUGCAGUGGGUACGGGCAGACUAGAGUGUGGUAGGGGAGACUGGAAUUCCUGGUGUAGCGGUGAAAUGCGCAGAUAUCAGGAGGAACACCGGUGGCGAAGGCGGGUCUCUGGGCCAGUACUGACGCUGAGAAGCGAAAGCGUGGGGAGCGAACAGG